AUGCAUUCAAAGAGUGCGUAACAGCUCACUGGUCGAGUGGACAUGCGCCGACAAUACACGGGGCUAAGCUGGACACCGAAGCGGCGGGAUUUUAUCUAUAUAGAAUCGGUAGGGGAGCUUCCCAUGGGCGGGGAAGCCGCCGGGCGACCGGCGGUGGAGCGCAUGGGAGUGAGAAUGCUGGCAUGAGUAGCGAGAGACGAGAGAGUAACUCGUCCGCCGUGAACCCGAGGUUUCCUGGGCAAGGCUAAUCCUCCCAGGGUCAGUCGGGGGCUAAGGCGAGGCCGGUAGGCGUAGCCGACGCGCAGCAGGCAGACAUUCCUGCACCGCGCACGCGGCGCUACGACCGACGGGGCGACGGAUGGGGGUGGCUCGGCGGGGUUCUGGACGUCCCCGUGAUGGAGCGCGGCCCGCGGACCAGGGAAAUCCGGUCCGCAUCAAGGGCGAGGCUCCGGACGAAGCACUUAAGCGAAGCGAGUGAGCCCGAGGUCCCUAGAAAAACCCCUAGGCAGGCGCGUGCGCGCCCGUACCGCAAACCGACACAGGUGGGUGGGUAGAACAUACCGAGGCGAUCGGGUCAACCAUGGUCAAGGAACUCGGCACAAUGGCCCCGUAACUUCGGGAGAAGGGGUGCCCGCGCGUACGUGAACGGACUUGCUCCGGGAGCGGAGGCGGGCCGCAGUGGAGAGGCCCAAGCGACUGUUUACCAAAAACACAGGACUCUGCAGAAGCCGCAAGGCGACGUAUAGGGUCUGACGCCUGCCCGGUGCCGGAAGGUCACGCGGAGGAGUUAGCCGCAAGGCGAAGCCCCGAAGCCAAGCCCCGGUAAACGGCGGCCGUAACUAUAACGGUCCUAAGGUAGCGAAAUUCCUUGUCGGGUAAGUUCCGACCUGCACGAAAGGCGCAACGACUUGGGCGCUGUCUCGACCAUGGACCCGGUGAAAUUGCACUGGUCGUGAAGAUGCGACUUACCCGCGGAAGGACGGAAAGACCCCGUGAACCUUCACUGCAGCUUGGCAUUGGCCGCUGGUCCCGCGUGUAGAGGAUAGGCAGGAGGCACAGAUCCGGAGGCGCCAGCCCCCGGGGAGCCGCCCUUGGAAUACUGCCCUCGCGCGACCGGCGUCCUAACCCGAGGCCGUCAACCGGCUCGGGGACCGUGCCAGGCGGGCAGUUUGACUGGGGCGGUCGCCUCCUAAAGGGUAACGGAGGCGCGCGAAGGUCCGCUCGGGACGGUCGGCAACCGUCCUUUUGAAUGCAAGAGUACAAGCGGGCUUGACUGCGAGGCCCACAAGCCGAGCAGGUGCGAAAGCAGGCUCUAGUGAUCCGGCGGCCCCGAGUGGGUGGGCCGUCGCUCAACGGAUAAAAGGUACUCCGGGGAUAACAGGCUGAUCUUGCCCAAGAGUCCACAUCGACGGCAAGGUUUGGCACCUCGAUGUCGGCUCAUCGCAUCCUGGGGCUGGAGCAGGUCCCAAGGGUACGGCUGUUCGCCGUUUAAAGCGGUACGCGAGCUGGGUUCAGAACGUCGUGAGACAGUUCGGUCCCUAUCCUCCGUGGGCGCAGGAGAAUCGAUGGAGGCUGCCCCCAGUACGAGAGGACCGGGGUGGACGCACCUCCGGUGAACCGGUUGUCGACCAACGGCACGGCCGGGUAGCCGCGUGCGGCGCGGAUAACCGCUGAAGGCAUCUAAGCGGGAAGCCGUUCCAGGGAUUAGUUCUCCUUCCGGUAAGGGCCCAGGUAGACUACCUGGUCGAUAGACGGCAGGUGCAAGGACGGCGACGUCCUCAGCCGAGCCGCACUAAUCGCCCGAGCUCUUCCGGA
rnacentral:rRNA from 1 species